GACGAACGCUGGCGGCGUGCCUAAUACAUGCAAGUCGAACGCAGUGGGGACAGGUGAGUAACACGUGGGUAACCUCCCAUCAGAGGGGAUAACACUUGGAAACAGGUGCUAAACCGCUACUGAUGGAUGGACCCGCGGUGCAUUAGCUAGUUGGUGGUGUAACGGCUCACCAAGGCGACGAUGCAUAGCUGGUCUGAGAGGAUGAUCGGCCACACUGGAACUGAGACACGGCCCAGACUCCUACGGGAGGCAGCAGUAGGGAAUAUUCGACAAUGGACGAAAGCCUGAUGGAGCAACGCCGCGUGAGUGAAGAAGGUUUUCGGAUUGUAAAACUCUGUUGUUAGAGAAGCGUUAUCUAACCAGAAAGCCACGGCUAACUACGUGCCAGCAGCCGCGGUAAUUC
rnacentral:rRNA from 1 species